rnacentral:tRNA from 1 species
AUAGAUGUGUUGGAAUUGGGAGACAAUUUCCGUUAAGGCCGGAAUGGCGAAAGCCGUGCAAGUUCGAGUCUUGCUAUCUAUA